rnacentral:rRNA from 1 species
UAACGCGUGAGGAACCUGCCUCAAAGAGGGGACAACAGUUGGAAACGACUGCUAAUACCGCAUAAGCCCACGGUGCCGCAUGGCACAGAGGGAAAAGGAGCAAUCCGCUUUGAGAUGGCCUCGCGUCCGAUUAGCUAGUUGGUGAGGUAAUGGCCCACCAAGGCGACGAUCGGUAGCCGGACUGAGAGGUUGAACGGCCACAUUGGGACUGAGACACGGCCCAG